CCCCGCUCCUCCUCUCCUGUGCGCCGCCGCCGCCCGUCCUCCUCCCCUCACAUAGCGCCCGCACGGCCCUGCUACGCCGAUGUCGCUCGCCCUGGUCGCCUUCACCCUCGCGCGCGCUCGCCAGCUGAGCGCGUCCCUCCUCUCGCGCCGCCGGCUGGCGACCGGCGCAUUCACCUCUCGUCUUUGUCCUCCGCCCCGCCGAGAUCGCUCCGUCCUCCGCCCUCCGCCCCGCCGAAGGAGUGACGGUUGCGGGUCCGAGGCCUCCCCUGCACGCCGUUCGGAGACAGAUUGAUCUUGGUCGGCCGGUCCACAUCGCCGUUGCUGUCGUCCUUCGCUCCAUAGGAUGCUAUCCUCGCCACCAUAGGGCCCCAUCGAGCUCGCACCGUCGCCGUUGCCAUUGAUGGGGAAGCAAAAGAUGAUGUGCGCUGCAUCGCUGCUCCUCGGUCGAGCUUGCACCUCCCUUGUGCAGCGCGCCAGCCAGUGCCUCGAGCAGUUGUGCCGUCGCCGUUGCCAUUAACGGGGAAGCACAAAAUUCUUGACGAAUGGUGUGUGGGGUGCUUGACCCUGAUUCAUCAAGGAGCACGAUGGCUCGCCACGAUCUGCAAUGGCCUGACGAACGAGGCGAUCCUUGGAAGCAGCACGUACACCUCUCUCUCUCUCUCUCACUCACUCAGAUUCCAAGGCCCAUUCCUUUCAUAUCUGGACAAAUGGAUCCUACAGUGCCAACAGCCACCACCAUGCUCCUUCCAAG